rnacentral:rRNA from 1 species
GUUAGCGGCGGACGGGUGAGUAACACGUGGGUAACCUGCCUGUAAGACUGGGAUAACUCCGGGAAACCGGAGCUAAUACCGGAUAGUUCCUUGAACCGCAUGGUUCAAGGAUGAAAGACGGUUUCGGCUGUCACUUACAGAUGGACCCGCGGCGCAUUAGCUAGUUGGUGGGGUAAUGGCUCACCAAGGCGACGAUGCGUAGCCGACCUGAGAGGGUGAUCGGCCACACUGGGACUGAGACACGGCCCAGACUCCUACGGGAGGCAGCAGUAGGGAAUCUUCCGCAAUGGACGAAAGUCUGACGGAGCAACGCCGCGUGAGUGAUGAAGGUUUUCGGAUCGUAAAGCUCUGUUGUUAGGGAAGAACAAGUGCGAGAGUAACUGCUCGCACCUUGACGGUACCUAACCAGAAAGCCACGGCUAACUACGUGCCAGCAGCCGCGGUAAUACGUAGGUGGCAAGCGUUGUCCGGAAUUAUUGGGCGUAAAGGGCUCGCAGGCGGUUUCUUAAGUCUGAUGUGAAAGCCCCCGGCUCAACCGGGGAGGGUCAUU